AACGCACAUUGCGCCCUUUGGUAUUCCGAAGGGCAUGCCUGUCUGAGCGUCAAUAAAUCAAUCAAACUUUGGUUUGGUAUUGGGAGAAGUGGUUUUGCCUCUCUCCUUUAAGCUAUUGGCGACGCUAUUUCAGCUUGUAAGACGUAGUAAGUAAUUCCUCGUCAAAGCAACUGUAUGGUAGUCUGCCAACUGAACGAUUUAUUUUACAGCUUGACCUCAGAUCAGGUAGGGAUACCCCCUGAACUUAA
rnacentral:misc_RNA from 1 species